UUAAGUUCAGCGGGUAUCCCUACCUAAUCCGAGGUCAAUCAUUAAAAAAUGGGGGGGUUCUGGCGAGUGUCCACCAGGUGCCUAUAGCGAUUAGAUUUACUACGCUUAGAGCCUGACAGCACUGCCACUGAUUUUAGAGGCUGCCUUGACAGCAGGCCUCAACACCAAGCUAGGCUUGAGGGGUGAUAAUGACGCUCGAA
rnacentral:misc_RNA from 1 species